rnacentral:rRNA from 1 species
UACGGAGGGAGCUAGCGUUGUUCGGAAUUACUGGGCGUAAAGCGCACGUAGGCGGCUUUGUAAGUUAGAGGUGAAAGCCUGGUGCUCAACACCAGAACUGCCUUUAAGACUGCAUCGCUUGAAUCAUGGAGAGGCGGGUGGAAUUCCGAGUGUAGAGGUGAAAUUCGUAGAUAUUCGGAAGAACACCAGUGGCGAAGGCGACUAACUGGACAUGUAUUGACGCUGAGGUGCGAAAGCGUGGGGAGCAAACAGG